UCUCUUCUUCAAUCCCCAGUUUUUUAUUUGCAAUGUUUUUUUUUUGCAGUUUCUGAAAAGAGCAUUGGGCUCAAGUUGUGACAAACUUGGAUCGGGAAGUUGUGGAAGUCCAAUUUGGCUCUGCAACCUAAAUCCGAAAAUCAUCAAGUUAUUCCAAUUUUAUUUUUUUGCACUCGUGUUGCUUGGAUGCUGGAUGGGCCUGGAUUUGUACUUUGGUGAGGAGGUGAACCCGAUGCCAAACCAUGAAGCUUAGAAGAAAAUGGUAGACUUGUGAAGUUGUAAACCAAGAGUUUUGCCAUGAAUUUGUUCUUUGAAUCUUAGACCAUAGGAAAUCUCAAAUUAUGCUUCUUGUAGGAUAAGAAACUUUGUAAUUUGGUAUAGGAACCUUGAAUCCAUCUUGUAUUUUUGAAGCUUUAACUUGAAGAAAAUUGGAUUCUUUGAAUGGAAUGAGGACUCUUGUUUUGAACCUUGUAAUCCUUGAAGUAUUUUGGAGUUGAAACUUGUAUGUUGAAAGACAUUGAAUCGAAA